UACGGCGAGUGACCGGGAAGAGCUCAAAUUUGUAAUCUGGCCUUUGGUCCGAGUUGUAAUCUAUAGAGGCGUUUUCCGCGCUGGAUCGUGUCCAAGUCUCUUGGAACAGAGUAUCAAAGAGGGUGAUAAUCCCGUACUUAACACGACCACCAGUGCUAUGUGAUACGUCUUCUACGAGUCGAGUUGUUUGGGAAUGCAGCUCAAAAUGGGUGGUAAAUUCCAUCUAAAGCUAAAUAUUGGCGAGAGACCGAUAGCGAACAAGUACCGUGAGGGAAAGAUGAAAAGCACUUUGGAAAGAGAGUUAAACAGUACGUGAAAUUGUUGAAAGGGAAACGAUUGAAGUCAGUCGUGUUCAUUGGACUCAGCCGGUUCUGCCGGUCUACUUCCUUUGAACGGGUCAACAUCAGUUUCGUCUGGUGGAUAAGGGCAGGAGGAAUGUGGCACCCUCGGGUGUGUUAUAGCCUCUUGUCGCAUACACUGGGUGAGACUGAGGAAUGCAGCUUGCCUUUUGGCCGGGGUUCGCCCACGUACAAGCUUAGGAUGUUGACAUAAUGGCUUUAAACGACCCGU
rnacentral:rRNA from 1 species